CUCAGGAAAGUUGUUUGUCUCAUGGGUACCAAGGAAACAGAGAGAGGAGGGACCAGAACAAAUUCAACCUUCCAAGGCCCAGUGACAUAUCUCCUCCAAGGAGGAUACUAGGCUCUCACAAUCUCCCAUUGUUCCUGAAGCUGUGACUUCAUCACCCUGAACACCCACAGGCAUCAUCAGUAGAGACAGGAUCCUUCUUGUCAUUCCCAUAUUCAAAAUAUGUUCCUGCAAGAAGUCCAUUCGAACCCCAGGCCCGGGAUCUUCUUUGUGGCAAGUAUCCUUGGUUUCAGCCUGGGACCUUGCUUCCUUCUUUUUCUCCUUCUCCUGAUGAUUCAUCAAUGCAGAAAGAAAUCAAAGUGCCAAGAGGAAGACCAUCAGGGAAAAGUAAAACUCCUGGAGGCGGAGGAGGAAGAGGAGUCCUGUACUGAAAUCGCUGAGAUCAGAAACUCCAAGAUUGCUCUGGAGGAGUUGGCGUGCCUGUACUGAAACAAGCUGUACUAUGACCCAGGCUAGAGGGUCACAGACCACCACCGUGGUACCCAGAUGGGACCAUGAUGCACCGUGGCCCCUUUAAUACUUAAGUUCUCCAAUAAUAAACUAUUUGGUCCUACUCA